AUUGAACGCUGGCGGCAGGCUUAACACAUGCAAGUCGAGCGGGGUGAUGGUGCUUGCACUAUCACUUAGCGGCAGACGGGUGAGUAAUGCUUAGGAAUCUGCCUAUUAGUGGGGGACAACAUCUCGAAAGGGAUGCUAAUACCGCAUACGUCCUACGGGAGAAAGCAGGGGAUCACUUGUGACCUUGCGCUAAUAGAUGAGCCUAAGUCGGAUUAGCUAGUUGGUGGGGUAAAGGCCUACCAAGGCGACGAUCUGUAGCGGGUCUGAGAGGAUGAUCCGCCACACUGGGACUGAGACACGGCCCAGACUCCUACGGGAGGCAGCAGUGGGGAAUAUUGGACAAUGGGGGGAACCCUGAUCCAGCCAUGCCGCGUGUGUGAAGAAGGCCUUAUGGUUGUAAAGCACUUUAAGCGAGGAGGAGGCUCUUUUGGUUAAUACCCAAGCUGAGUGGACGUUACUCGCAGAAUAAGCACCGGCUAACUCUGUGCCAGCAGCCGCAGUAA
rnacentral:rRNA from 1 species